GAUGAACGCUAGCGGCAGGCUUAACACAUGCAAGUCGAGGGGCAGCACGGGUAGCAAUACCUGGUGGCGACCGGCGCAAGGGUGCGUAACGCGUGAGCAACAUGCCCUAUACAGGGGGAUAAUCCAGGGAAACUUGGUCUAAUAUCCCAUAGUAUUUAGAGGAGGCAUCUUCUAUAAAUUAAAGCUUCGGUGGUAUAGGAUUGGCUCGCGUGACAUUAGCUAGAUGGUGAGGUAACGGCUCACCAUGGCAAUGAUGUCUAGGGGUUCUGAGAGGAAGGCCCCCCACACUGGGACUGAGACACGGCCCAGACUCCUACGGGAGGCAGCAGUGAGGAAUAUUGGACAAUGGAUGGAAAUCUGAUCCAGCCAUGCCGCGUGCAGGAAGACAGCCCUAUGGGUUGUAAACUGCUUUUUAAUAUGGGAGCAAAUAAGGUCUACGUGUAGACUGAUGAGAGUACCAUAUGAAUAAGC
rnacentral:rRNA from 1 species